GGGUCAGUAGGUUGGUCGUGCCACCGGUACGUACUGGUCUCACUGAUUCCUCCCUCCUGAAGAACCGUAAUGCCAUUAAUUUGGUGCUGCGGGGAAACAGGACUGUUACUUUGAAAAAAUUAGAGUGUUUAAAGCAAGCUAACGCUUGAAUACAUUAGCAUGGAAUAAUGAAAUAGGACGAUCGAUCCUAUUUUGCUGGUUUCUAGGAUUGACGUA
rnacentral:rRNA from 1 species